rnacentral:rRNA from 1 species
ACUACCGAUUGAAUGGUUUAGUGAGGCCUGCUGACUGGCGCCGAUACUCCGGCAACAGAGCGGCGGAUGCCGGAAAGUUGGUCAAACUUGAUCAUUUAGAGGAAGUAAAAGUCGUAACAAGGUUUCCGUAGGUGAAUCUGCGGAAGGAUCAUUACCGAUGAAACAAUCCAAAACGAGUCUUUCAGACUUGUUUACUGUGUGAACUGUACGCAAUCUUUUAGGGGUCGGUCUCUGUGCCGUUAAAUGGUCGUUCGCCGCUUGGCGUGCGUUCGGUCAGCCCCGACUUUAUGUUUUUACAAACUUUGUUUAUUCAGUCUGAGUGUUGGAAAACGAAAAAGAGAGAGACAACUUUUAACGGUGGAUCUCUUGGCUCACGCAUCGAUGAAGAACGCAGCCAGCUGCGAUAAGUAGUGUGAAUUGCAGAAUUCAGUGAAUCAUCGAAUCUUUGAACGCAAAUGGCGCUCUUGGGUUCUCCCAGGAGCAUGUCUGCCUGAGUGUCGGAUAUCAUCCAACGCACUUGAGUGUGUGGCAUUGAGGCGUCACGGCACACUUAUGCCGCCGUGUCCCUUGAAAAGCAGAGAGACUCGCAUCGUGCGUGGUUCUGCACCCCCAUGCGAGGGCUAAAAAUCCAUUUGGUCCUUGGCUGGGUGAGUGUCCGAAGCGCGUGCGGAGUCCCACGACAAAAACAUAACUAUCUGGACCUCAGGUCAGGCAAGGCUACCCGCUGAAUUUAAGCAUAUUAAUAAGCGGAGGAAAAGAAACUAACAAGGAUUCCCCCAGUAACGGCGAGUGAAGCGGGAAGAGCUCAAAUUUGAAAUCUCCGAGGCCUGAACGCUUCGGCGAGUUGUAGUUGCGAGAAGCACUUUCUCGGCGGACCGACCGUGCCUAAGUUGCUUGGAACAGCACGUCGCAGAGGGUGACAACCCCGUCUGUGGCGCGGACGGCCGCUCACGAUGUGCUUUCGAA